CUGUUACUUUACAGCUGCCUGCUGGAGUGACCGUGUGGGAGAACCCUUGGAGAUGGAGGAGCCUGGGGAGCCCCGGCCUCAGCAGACAAGCCCCCAGCUCUGUGGGUCUUCCCAGGAAGAGCUGCCAAACCUGGGAGAGCACCAGCCUUCAGGCAGGAAGGUAGUGCAGGCAAAAGCUGCACCAGUGUCUCACUGAGGAGCUGAAACAGGACAGAUGUCUCAAGCUGCGCCUCAAAUCUGGUUGCUUCCAGCACGAUUUUCUUAAAUGAACAGGAAAUGCAGAAAAGACGGAGAAGACAACGGCUUUCCCAGGGCAGUGCCAAAGCUGAUGAAACGAGCACUGACUUCCCAUCUAGCCUUCUCCUCCUGUCCAUCUUCUCCAGGGAACGGAACUAGGAAUGCGUGAGGCAAGGGCUUGUGUUCGUGCUACCUGAUAUUUUUAUUUCUGUAACUCGUGAACAGUAAGCUGUCACUGCAUAUCUACGCUGGGGUCAGAGAUCUCUUGGGGUUGGUGUCAUAAUUGCUGGGGCACUGAGCCGCCGUCUACAUCUGGCUACAUGUGUGGCCAUGGCAGUGGUAGCAGUGACAGCGAAACUUAACACAGUUCGUAAAGCUGCAGAUAUGCAUGAGGGCUGCCACCUGCUUGGAGUGACCCUGAGCCCCCCACACCUGACCUCUCCCUCAUUUGAGAUACUCACGUCGUUAAGGAGAGGCAGGUUUUUCUGUUCUUUGGCCAUCGUGUGCUCUGGACCUCACUCAGUCCUGAGUUCCGUCAACACCCUCUUAUAGCGAACGCCUCUCCUUGGCUUUCUCAGCUGACUGCAGCAUCCCUCACCCCCACUAGCAGGCAGCGCCCAUGGGUUUCUCUCCUAUGCCUCUGCUUCUUCCUCAAGUCCUGUACUCCACUAGAAAACAGAAAACCUCCGCCAUGUACACAACUGCUCUUAAAAGCAUGGCCUUCCCAAGCUGCAGCUAACUCCUUCCAGAGGCCCAGAUGUCUCAUCUGCUUGGAAAUGUGAGGAAAAGCCUGUCCAUUUCAGUGACUUGGACACCAUCCGCCCUUCCACUUGGGGUAGUUUCAAAAGAAAUGCAACUGUGCUUCCUGGGAGAAAACUGAGGCUGAUGAUGCCACAGACCUUCAUCCUUGGCCUUCUUCCAUCCUUCCCUGUGCGCCUCUGCGGAGCUCCCAAGCUGUCUGCUCAUCUCCUCAUGGUUCUGCUCCCUCUCCCCGACCCCCCUGCCUUCCCACAUCUUGUGCUCUGUCCGUUACCUCCACCUCGGGACUUCUGUUCUGCAGUGGGUUCCCACAGCCCCCUGGCCUCAGAGGAGCUUGGCUCUCCCUCAGGAGCUCUGUCCCUGCAGUUCUGCUGAAUGACAGCUGCUCUCUUUCCCCUUUGCACUGUGAACCACAGAGCUGCAGGUGGCAGGCCAGGGAUAGAGUUAGGAAGCAUUGCGAGACUUAUGUGAAGGAUCAUAUAGUAAAUAGAGCAGAACCUCUGUAAGUUGACCACCCAAGGGACUGCAGCAAGCUGGUGAAUUCACAGAGAUGGUCACAUAAGGAACUAGGCCUGCUGUGUUGAUACGUGCAUGUGGUGCAUGUCCAGAUCAUGAAAAGUAGGGCAACUCAAGGCGGUGGUUGGUGGGGGGAGAGGGUCAGCUAUGGAGUGCUUUCUCCAUAGCUGGAGAUUCUCCUGUAUCUUCAUGGGCCAUGGAGUCUGCUGUAACUACUCACGUCUGUUGUUGUAGUGCAAAAGCAACUGCAGUCAGUGAGGAAACAAAUCAGCAUGUUUCAAUAAAACUUUGUUUAUGGACAUUGCAAUGUGAAUUUCAUGUAAUUUUCACAUGUUACAAAAUAAUAUUCCUUUUCUGAAAAAUUUUCAACCAUUUAAAAAUGUAUAAAACAGGAUGGGCAUCCAUAGCUCAGUGGUUAGGGUGCCGGCCACAUGCUCCAGGGAUGGUAGGUUCAAACUCAGCCCGGGCCUACUAAACAAACAAACAAACAAACAAAAAAAUAGCUGGGCAUUGUAGCCGGCGCCUGUAGUCCCAGCUACUCAGAAGGCUAAGGCAAGAGAAUUGCUUAAGCCU